CGCCCGGUGGCACAGUGGUAGUGCAUCUGCUUGAUAUACUCCGUAUGUAUCGUUUAUGCAGAAGGUUCCCCGUUCGAUUCGGGGUCGGGCGA